GAUGAACGCUGGCGGCGUGCCUAAUACAUGCAAGUCGAGCGAACAGACGAGGAGCUUGCUCCUCUGACGUUAGCGGCGGACGGGUGAGUAACACGUGGAUAACCUACCUAUAAGACUGGGAUAACUUCGGGAAACCGGAGCUAAUACCGGAUAAUAUAUUGAACCGCAUGGUUCAAUAGUGAAAGACGGUUUUGCUGUCACUUAUAGAUGGAUCCGCGCCGCAUUAGCUAGUUGGUAAGGUAACGGCUUACCAAGGCAACGAUGCGUAGCCGACCUGAGAGGGGGGACGGCCAAAAGGGAACUGAGAAACGGUCCAGACCCCUAAGGGAGGAAGAAGUAGGGAAUCUUACGAAAUGGGCGAAAGCUUGAAGGAGAAACGCCGCGGGAGGGAUGAAGGUCUUCGGAUCGUAAAACUUUGUUAUUAGGGAAGAACAAAUGUGGAAGUAAAUAUGCACGUCUUGAAGGUAACUAAUCAGAAAGCCAAGGCUAAAUACGUG
rnacentral:rRNA from 1 species